GUCACGCACGCUGUGUGGCCGUGCACCAAUGACUUGCCCUCUCUGGGCGUCCACUUUUCUCUCUAUAGAAUAGUUUGGUGGAAACGCACAGUCAUACAGAGAAGAGCUGUACAUGCCCCAUGGCAUAUAAGCCUCAUGGCAGCAGAGACCAGGUUGGCGCUGGGUACAUUGACUCCAUUCGUGGUUGCUGACCGAGGCGCAGAGCAGUAAAAGGUCUGGAAGCCUCCAAAGAUAAUCCUCCCGUAGGUGGGUUCCAGGCUGCCUUGAGAGACCACCUGAACCCCCACCCCCACGAAUAAUAAGGGCAGCAUCGC
rnacentral:lncRNA from 1 species